rnacentral:tRNA from 2 species
GGGGCUGUAGCUCAGUUGGGAGAGCGUUUGACUGGCAGUCAAAAGGCCGGGGGUUCGAGUCCCCCCAGCUCCACCA